rnacentral:rRNA from 1 species
CUCGUGUCGUGAGAUGUUGGGUUAAGUCCCGCAACGAGCGCAACCCUUGUGUUUAGUUGCAAACAGGUCAAGCUGUGCACUCUAGACAGACUGCCGUGGACAACACGGAGGAAGGUGGGGAUGACGUCAAAUCAUCAUGCCCCUUAUGAUCUGGGCUACACACGUGCUACAAUGGCCGGUACAACGGGCAGCGAAGGAGCGAUCCGGAGCGAAUCCUAAAAAGCCGGUCCCAGUUCGGAUUGCAGGCUGAAACUCGCCUACAUGAAGUUGGAGUUGCUAGUAAUCGCGAAUCAGAAUGUCGCGGUGAAUGCGUUCCCGGGUCUU